rnacentral:rRNA from 1 species
GAAAUAAAUUUAAUUUAGUUUUAAUUUUUCUUUUUUUUAUUAAAAAUUUGAUUAAUUAAGAUAAAAUUAGAAGGGGAUAAGCUCUUUUAAUGUUUUAUAAUAUUUUCUUACUUAAUUAUAGUAGGAUUGAAAUCUUCCAUCUUUUUUAUUACGUUAUAGUAUAUAUUUAUUUAUUUUAAUUUAUCUUUUAUUUAAUAAUAUAUUAAAAAUUUUUAAUGAAUUUUGUAUUUAGAGUUAUAAUGAUUAAAUUAGUAUAUUUAUUUUGUUUGGUAAUUAUUUAUUUGUGUUUUAUUUAUAAGGAACUCGGCAAAUAAAUGUUCGCCUGUUUAUCAAAAACAUGUCCUCUUGUUUGUUUGAGAGGUCUGACCUGCCCAGUGAAUAAUUUUAACGGCCGCGGUAUUUUGACYGURCAAAGGUAGCAUAAUCAUUAGUCUUUUAAUAGAGGGCUGGAAUGAAAGGUUUAACGAAACAUUAACUGUCUCAUUUAUAUAAUUUAGAAUUUAAUUUUUAAGUUAAAAAGCUUAAAUUUUGUUGAAGGACGAGAAGACCCUAUAGAGUUUUAUAAUUAAAAUAAUAAUAAAAAUUUUGAUCUAUAUUUUUGAAUUAUUAUUUUAAUUAUUUUGUUGGGGUGACAAAAAUAAAUAAUUAACUAUUUUAUUUUGUAAACAUAAAUUUAUGAAUAUUUGAUCCAUUAUUAUUGAUUGUUAGAUUAAAUUACCUUAGGGAUAACAGCGUAAUAU